UACGGAAGGCAGCAGUGGGGAAUAUUGCACAAUGGGCGAAAGCCUGAUGCAGCUAUGCCGCGUGUAUGAAGAAGGCCUUAGGGUUGUAAAGUACUUUCAUCGGGGAGGAAAAAACAAAACUAAUAAUUUUAUUUCUUGACGUUACCCGAAAAAGAAGCACCGGCUAACUCCGUGCCAGCAGCCGCGGUAAUACGGAGGGUGCUAGCGUUAAUCAGAAUUACUGGGCGUAAAGAGCACGUAGGUGGUUUUUUUAAAGUCAGAUGUGAAAUCCCUGGGCUUAACCUAGGAACUGCAUUUUGAAACUGAAAUACUAGAGUAUCGUAGAGGGAGGUAGAAUUCUAGGUGUAGCGGUGAAAUGCGUAGAUAUCUGGAGGAAUACCUGUGGCGAAAGCGGCCUCCUAAACCGGAUACUGACACUGAGGUGCGAAAGCUUGGGGAGCAAACCAGGGAUUUAGAUACCCGU
rnacentral:rRNA from 1 species